AACGCGAAGAACCUUACCAGUCCUUGACAUGCGGAGUAUGGGUUUGAGAGAUCAGAUCCUUCGGUUCGGCCGGCUCCUGCACAGGUGCUGCAUGGCUGUCGUCAGCUCGUGUCGUGAGAUGUUGGGUUAAGUCCCGCAACGAGCGCAACCCUCAUCUUCAGUUGCCCCCGGGUCAGGCCGGGCACUCUGAAGAAACCGCCGGUGACAAGCCGGAGGAAGGCGGGGAUGACGUCAAGUCCUCAUGGCCCUUACGGACUGGGCUACACACGUACUACAAUGGUGGUGACAGUGGGCUGCGAAGUCGCAAGACGGAGCCAAUCCCCAAAAGCCAUCUCAGUUCAGAUUGCACUCUGCAACUCGAGUGCAUGAAGUUGGAAUCGCUAGUAAUCGCAGAUCAGCACGCUGCGGUGAAUACGUUCCCGGGCCUUGUACACACCGCACGA
rnacentral:rRNA from 1 species